UACGUAGGAUGCAAGCGUUGUCCGGAAUUAUUGGGCGUAAAGAGCGCGCAGGCGGUUUGGCAAGUCAGAUGUGAAAGAGGCCGGCUUAACCGGCAAGGGUCAUUUGAAACUGCCAGACUAGAGUGCAGCAGAGGAUAGCGGAAUUCCCGGUGUAGUGGUGAAAUGCGUAGAUAUCGGGAGGAACACCAGUGGCGAAGGCGGCUAUCUGGGCUGCAACUGACGCUGAGGCGCGAAGGCUAGGGUAGCAAACAGG
rnacentral:rRNA from 1 species